rnacentral:rRNA from 1 species
AUUGAACGCUGGCGGCAGGCCUAACACAUGCAAGUCGAACGGUAGCAGGAAGAAGCUUGCUUCUUUGCUGACGAGUGGCGGACGGGUGAGUAAUGUCUGGGAAACUGCCUGAUGGAGGGGGAUAACUACUGGAAACGGUAGCUAAUACCGCAUAACGUCGCAAGACCAAAGAGGGGGACCUUCGGGCCUCUUGCCAUCGGAUGUGCCCAGAUGGGAUUAGCUAGUAGGUGGGGUAACGGCUCACCUAGGCGACGAUCCCUAGCUGGUCUGAGAGGAUGACCAGCCACACUGGAACUGAGACACGGUCCAGACUCCUACGGGAGGCAGCAGUGGGGAAUAUUGCACAAUGGGCGCAAGCCUGAUGCAGCCAUGCCGCGUGUAUGAAGAAGGCCUUCGGGUUGUAAAGUACUUUCAGCGGGGAGGAAGGGAGUAAAGUUAAUACCUUUGCUCAUUGACGUUACCCGCAGAAGAAGCACCGGCUAACUCCGUGC